rnacentral:rRNA from 1 species
GAUGAACGCUAGCGGCAGGCCUAAUACAUGCAAGUCGAACGGUCCCGCAAGGGAUAGUGGCAAACGGGUGCGUACCGCGUAAAUAACCUGCCCCAAACUGGGAGAUAGCUUUGCGAAAGCGGAGGUAAUACCCCAUGGUCUUAUCGGAUCACCUGGUCUGAUGAGUAAAGCCUUCGGGUGGUUUGGGAGGGAUUUGCGUCUGAUUAGCUAGUUGGGGGGUAGUGGCCGACCAAGGCGAUGAUCAGUCGGGGCGUCUGAGAGGAGGGUCCCCCGACCAUGGGCGACUGAGACACGGGCCCGAACUCCUACGGGAGGCAGCAGUAGGGAAUAUUGGGCAAUGGGCGAGAGCCUGACCCAGCCAUGCUGCGUGCAGGACGAAGGCCCUCUGGUUGUAAACUGCCUUUAUCUGGGAAGAAGAGGCGCUAUGCGUAGCGCUGUGACGGUACCAGAGGAAUCAGCACCGGCUAACUCCGUGCCAGCAGCCGCGGUAAU